UACGUAGGGGGCGAGCGUUGUCCGGAAUUAUUGGGCGUAAAGAGCGUGUAGGCGGUUCGGUAAGUCUGUCGUGAAAUCCUGGGGCUCAACCUCGGGCGUGCGAUGGAUACUGCCGGGCUAGAGGGUGGUAGAGGCGAGUGGAAUUCCUGGUGUAGCGGUGAAAUGCGCAGAUAUCAGGAGGAACACCAAUUGCGAAGGCAGCUCGCUGGAACGUUACUGACGCUGAGACGCGAAAGCGUGGGGAGCAAACAGG
rnacentral:rRNA from 1 species